rnacentral:rRNA from 1 species
UACGUAGGGACCAAGCGCUGUUCGGAUUUACUGGGCGUAAAGGGCGCGUAGGCGGCAAUUCAAGUCAUCUGUGAAAUCUCCGGGCUUAACCCGGAACGGUCAGGUGAUACUGUUUUGCUAGAGUGCGGAAGGGGCAAUCGGAAUUCUCGGUGUAGCGGUGAAAUGCGCAGAUAUCAGGAGGAACACCAAUGGCGAAGGCAGCUCACUGGGACGGUAUUGACGCUGAGACGCGAAAGCGUGGGGAGCAAACAGG